UGGGAAUCAUAGUGGAUCAGCUUCAGGCCCAGCUGUCAACUCAAGAGAAAGAAAUGGAGAAGCUUGUUCAGGGAGAUCAAGAUAAGACAGAGCAGUUAGAGCAACUGAAAAAGGAAAAUGACCACCUCUUUCUCAGUUUAACUGAACAGAGGAAGGACCAGAAGAAGCUCGAGCAGACAGUGGAGCAAAUGAAGCAGAAUGAAACUACUGCAAUGAAGAAACAACAGGAAUUAAUGGCAUGUCUGUCCUUGGAUGGUUAUGUGGGAGGGAGCCUAUGGGGAUAUAGAAGAAAAGGAUAUGGGCCUAUUUUCCGGUUGAUGGACAGGAUAAAUAAGAGAGUGUUCACCUCUAGGUGUUUUGCUUUCUAGCCAAAAGGACAGAGAAUCUGCCAUUUACAAAAUGUUUAGAAGUGGGCAUUUCUAAUAUGUGAUAAGUGAUAAAGGAAUAUUGCAAGUUAAA
rnacentral:sRNA from 1 species